UCGAGCGAUGAGAUCACUUCGGUGAAGGAUUAGCGGCGAACGGGUGUGGAACACGUGAAGAAUCUGCCUUCAACUCUGGGAUAACUCCGGGAAACCGGGGCUAAUACCGGAUAUGAGCCUUGAUCGCAUGAUCGGGGCUGGAAAGUUUUUCGGUUGAAGAUGACUUCGCGGCCUAUCAGCUUGUUGGUGAGGUAAUGGCUCACCAAGGCGACGACGGGUAGCCGGCCUGAGAGGGCGACCGGCCACACUGGGACUGAGACACGGCCCAGACUCCUACGGGAGGCAGCAGUGGGGAAUAUUGGGCAAUGGAGGAAACUCUGACCCAGCGACGCCGCGUGCGGGAUGAAGGCCUUCGGGUUGUAAACCGCUUUCAGCAGGGAAUAAGCGCAAGUGAAGGUACCUGCAGAAGAAGCACCGGCUAACUAUGUGCCAGCAGCCGCGGUAAUACAUAGGGUGCAAGCGUUGUCCGGAAUUAUUGGGCGUAAAGAGCUCGUAGGUGGUUUGUUACGUCGAUCGUGAAAUUCAGGGGCUCAACCCCUGACUUGCGGUCGAUACGGGCAAGCUAGAGUUUGGUAGGGGAGACUGGAAUUCCUGGUGUAGCGGUGGAAUGCGCAGAUAUCAGGAGGAACACCGAUGGCGAAGGCAGGUCUCUGGGCCAAUACUGACACUGAGGAGCGAAAGCGUGGGGAGCGAACAGGAUUAGAUACCCUGGUAGUCCACGCCGUAAACGGUGGGCGCUAGUUGUGCGAACCUUCCACGGUUUGUGCGACGCAGCUAACGCAUUAA
rnacentral:rRNA from 1 species